UACGUAGGGUGCGAGCGUUGUCCGGAAUUAUUGGGCGUAAAGAGCUUGUAGGCGGUUUGUCGCGUCUGCUGUGAAAAUCCGGGGCUCAACCCCGGACUUGCAGUGGGUACGGGCAGACUAGAGUGUGGUAGGGGAGACUGGAAUUCCUGGUGUAGCGGUGAAAUGCGCAGAUAUCGGGAAGAACACCCGUGGCGAAGGCGGCUCUCUGGAACGCAACUGACGCUGAGACGCGAAAGCGUGGGGAGCAAACAGG
rnacentral:rRNA from 1 species